UACGAAGGGGGCUAGCGUUGCUCGGAAUUACUGGGCGUAAAGCGCACGUAGGCGGAUUGUUAAGUCGGGGGUGAAAUCCUGGAGCUCAACUCGAGAACUGCCUUCGAUACUGGCGAUCUCGAGUUCGGGAGAGGUGAGUGGAACUGCGAGUGUAGAGGUGAAAUUCGUAGAUAUUCGCAAGAACACCAGUGGCGAAGGCGGCUCACUGGCCCGAUACUGACGCUCAUGUGCGAAAGCGUGGGGAGCAAACAGG
rnacentral:rRNA from 1 species